GCUUCUGGCUAUCAUUAGUUCUGAAUACUGUGGUUUUUGUUUUAGAAAAAAAUGGCUGUGAAUUUUGGUCUGUCUUUGAGAAUUACUUGGAUUUGUUGCCUGCUGAUUGUAGGGAUAACCUGUUAUCCUCCACCUAAAGGUGACUAUAGAUAUCUUCCCCAAAUUGCAACAAAGGGAACCGGCUCCUACGCCCC